rnacentral:lncRNA from 1 species
AGAAGCGGACAAGCAAACAGCGGAUGUGCAGUUCCUCUCUUCGCCGAACCCGGUUUUCCCUUUCGGAGCAGCGCGACCGAUUUCCGGUUUCCCCGCCGCAACCACCGUUACCCCCCCCCCGCCCCAAUCCCCGGCGACUCCAGCGACGUCACCGGUUCAGCUCCUGACCUUUCGGCGAACCGCAGAACCACAGGCGACCCGUUCGACGUCAUCACUCCCCGCCCAGAUGUCGCUGUGACAUCACCCCGCACGUGCCUGCGCUGGCACCGCGUCGUCCUGGCGAGCGCCUCCUCGCGGCGGAAGGAGAUCCUGGGGUUCGCUGUGCGAGACAUGUCGGCGGGGUUUCACGUGAGUGACACUUGGUCCCCACGGGAUUGACAGCGACUAGCGGAGUGGCAUGUGGACGUAGCUUCAGGUGACCUCACUGACCCCGCCCCUGACUCCACCCCUUGUGAUGACCCCACCACUGACCCACAGGCCUUGGAGGGGCUGAUCCUGGAGAAGUCAAAGGACCAGGAGGACGCCAUGGGGGGUGCUGUACAGGCUGAGCAGGAAGCAGAGCAGCACAGCGUCAUCAUGAGGGUAGCCAUCUUCACCUGGGGCAUCCACGGAGGCCCUGCCCAGGAAGUGACUUUCUCUCUACUGUAGGAGGAGCUGAUCCACGACUACUUGGACAACAGCACACCAGCGAAGGAUGGAUACCCUCCUAUACAGUUGUUAGAAGCAACCCUCCAUCUCCAACUCCAAAAAUAAAUGAAAACCAAACCACACAGUUGGAAAUCAGGGGUCUGCAACAACACAAGGAAGCAAGCAACCCGUGAGAAAGCACUGGCAUGGAUGAAAACAGACUCACUGGAAAGAUGCAAAGCAAUGUCAGGUUACACAACAAAAGGCAAUUACAGUCAUAUGAGGGAGUGUUCGAAAAGUUGUAAUUUGAAAACUGUUUUUGGUUGUCCUUUAGUUGGCCUCCUCUGUAAAUUGUGACAGACAUCUCCUGACAACACUUAAAGCAUCUCAAACCAUCCUUGCCCUGAUCUAUGAGUUCUCAGAACAGAAGGACUACUGAGCCAGGCGUGGUAGCACAUGCCUGUGAUCCUACAACUCAGAAGACAGAAGAGGAAUUCUAGGUCAGCCUGGGCUAGACAGACAGCAAGACUCUUGUUUUGUUUUGAAAGGCUGGUGAGGUAGUUCAGCGGGUUAACUGCCUGGUCUAAGCCCAGUGACGUGAGUUUGUGUGCUGUGGAGCUUCUGCAAACCCUGCCCCUGCCAAAUAAAAACUCGUAAUUUAUAACUCACAAAAA